rnacentral:rRNA from 1 species
UACGGAGGGUGCAAGCGUUGUCCGGAUUCACUGGGUUUAAAGGGUGCGUAGGUGGGCUAGUAAGUCCGUGGUGAAAUCUCCAAGCUUAACUUGGAAACUGCCGUGGAUACUAUUAGUCUUGAAUAUUGUGGAGGUAAGCGGAAUAUGUCAUGUAGCGGUGAAAUGCUUAGAUAUGACAUAGAACACCGAUAGCGAAGGCAGCUUGCUACACAAUCAUUGACACUGAGGCACGAAAGCGUGGGGAUCAAACAGG